UACGAAGGGGGCUAGCGUUGCUCGGAAUUACUGGGCGUAAAGGGCGCGUAGGCGGCACUGUUAGUCAGGCGUGAAAUUCCUGGGCUCAACCUGGGGACUGCGCUUGAUACGGCAGAGCUUGAGGAUGGAAGAGGGUCGCGGAAUUCCCAGUGUAGAGGUGGAAAUUCGUAGAUAUUCGCAAGAACACCAGUGGCGAAGGCGGCUCACUGGCCCGGUACUGACGCUGAGGUGCGAAAGCGUGGGGAGCAAACAGG
rnacentral:rRNA from 1 species